UUACUGCGGCUGCUAGAAAACUGCUCACACAUGAGCCUUGUGUGCUAUUUCUUCCCGUCAGUGCCAUCGAGAGCAACGCUGGGCGUUCAGCGGGCACGAUGCCAACGUCCGCUCUUAUUAUUAUUAGUUUUUGGGUUUGAGUCCUGGAUUUACAGCGUUCGCCAUUUGAGCCAACCCGUCUUCCCCACAUCUUGGAAGAUGUUUCGUAUCGGCAGGAAACUGCAGGUGGAAGGAACCUCGGAUCCCAUAAAAGGAUGCUGCGGUCCAGCCGCCAGCACUGCAUUCCGUGGGGUUGGAAAAGACCUCUUCUGGGCUCCAGGGAUCUGUUUGAAGACACAGUUGCCCCUGGGAGGCUGCUCGUUUCUGUGUGUCUAUCUGUCCACCUACCUGUCCAUCCACUCGCCACUGAAGGGAAGCAGAAAUGAAUGAGCCAUGGAACCCACCUGCCCUCAAGCAACUUAGCAUCCAGAAGGGGAGGUCAGAGGUGGUAAAGCACAGAGGAGUGAAGAGACCUGCCCCAAGUCACACAGCUGGGCCAGGCAUGGGCAGCCUGGGCCUGUGCCCUCGUCCCCGCGUGCACACACUCAUUCAUGCUCCACGCGUGCACACACUGCCUGUUCAUCACAGGGCUCAGAAUCCUCCAGAGGGGCUCCCGGCAGCCUCUGGGCCAGGAUGGCUUGCACACUCUGGGAGGCGGAAGGGACGCCUUCGCUGCACCACCUGGCAGACAGGCCCGGGUGGGCAGGGGGGUCGCCCAAGGUCCCUGUGAGCUGAUGGCUUCAUCAACGGGUCCAAGAAUCUGGAAGG
rnacentral:lncRNA from 1 species